rnacentral:lncRNA from 1 species
GGGUUCCGACGGCGGGACCUUCCUCCAUGGCCCGCUCGGCCGCUUCCGGUGCUGAGCGAUUGCGUUACGGUCUGAGACGCCUGCUUCCGGCGCCUCCUAAAGACGUCACGCACCUACCAAGCAGCCCAUGCUACUGUCCACAUGGCCAGAGAGCCCAAAGUGAAUUAGAGAAGAAAAACAACUCUGAGUAACAAAAUAGAGAAAGCUACAGGCUGCUUCAGUUCUUCAUCAUGUCAGUCCAGCUGGGUCAGCUGACUGGAGUCCAUCACUGCGAACCUGAAACACAUCGCGGAGGAACUUGCCAUGGAGACAGUGAAUAUCAGCUUUUCAUAGCCCAGGAUUAAAAAAAGAAAUGCUA